GACGAACGCUGGCGGCGUGCCUAAUACAUGCAAGUAGAACGCUGAAGAGAAGAGCUUGCUCUUCUUGGAUGAGUUGCGAACGGGUGAGUAACGCGUAGGUAACCUGCCUUGUAGCGGGGGAUAACUAUUGGAAACGAUAGCUAAUACCGCAUAACAAUGGAUGACACAUGUCAUUUAUUUGAAAGGGGCAAUUGCUCCACUACAAGAUGGACCUGCGUUGUAUUAGCUAGUAGGUGAGGUAACGGCUCACCUAGGCGACGAUACAUAGCCGACCUGAGAGGGUGAUCGGCCACACUGGGACUGAGACACGGCCCAGACUCCUACGGGAGGCAGCAGUAGGGAAUCUUCGGCAAUGGGGGCAACCCUGACCGAGCAACGCCGCGUGAGUGAAGAAGGUUUUCGGAUCGUAAAGCUCUGUUGUAAGUCAAGAACGAGUGUGAGAGUGGAAAGUUCACACUGUGACGGUAGCUUACCAGAAAGGGACGGCUAACUACG
rnacentral:rRNA from 1 species